GGCCGGACAAACGAAUCGUGUGCAAACCUCGAUUCGUAAAUAAAUAACGAUAGAUCACGGUUUCGAUAUAGAAUUCUUUAUAAUUUCGGAUUAAUUGUGCAUUGCUUCUUAUAAAAUUGUUAAUUAAAAUGCCUUACGUUAAUUAAAAUGCCUUACAUGACAAA